CCAAGUUAAUUAGUGCACAUGGUGGAUGCCUAGGCAUCAAUAACCGAUGAAGGACGUAUAAGGCUGCGAUAAGCCUCGAGGAGCUGCCAAUAGAGCUUUGAUUCGAGGAUUUCCGAAUGGGGAAACCCGGCUGGAGUAAUGUCCAGUCACUUCUGCCUGAACACAUAGGGCAGCUGGAGGGAACGUGGGGAAGUGAAACAUCUCAGUACCCACAGGAAGAGAAAAUAACAUAUGAUUCCGUUAGUAUUGGCGAGAGAAAGCGGAAGAGGCCAAACCAUAUCAGCGUGAUAGUUUUCAGACGUUGCUGUUAUGGGGUUGUGGGACCAUUCCGAGGUAGCUGAAACUACUUCAAAGAGUAAAAAAUCAAUCAAAUAGAUGAAGGUUCUGGAAAGGACCGCGACACAGGGUGAUAGCCCCGUAAUCGAAAUUUGUUUGACUCUUGAGUGGUAUCCCAAGUAGCACGGGGCCCGAGAAAUCCCGUGUGAAUCUGGCAGGACCACCUGCUAAGCCUAAAUAUUCAUUGAUGACCGAUAGCGGACUAGUACCGUGAGGGAAAGGUGAAAAGUACCCCGGGAGGGGAGUGAAAUAGUACCUGAAACCAUGUGCAUACAAGCCGUUGGAGCCGUAAUAGGUGACAGCGUGCCUUUUGAAGAAUGAGCCUGCGAGUUAGUGGUAUGUGGCGAGGUUAACCCGUGAGGGGAAUCCGUAGCGAAAGCGAGUCCGAAUAGGGCGAAUUAGUCGCAUGCUCUAGACCCGAAGCGAAGUGAUCUAUCCAUGGGCAGGUUGAAGCGCGGGUAAGACCGCGUGGAGGACCGAACCCACCUAGGUUGAAAACUGGGGGGAUGACCUGUGGAUAGGGGUGAAAGGCCAAUCAAACUUCGUGAUAGCUGGUUCUCCCCGAAAUGCAUUUAGGUGCAGCGUCUCGUGUUUCUUUCCGGAGGUAGAGCUACUGGAUGGUUUAGGGGGCCCAACAGCUUACCGACAUCAGCCAAACUCCGAAUGCCGGAAAGUUAGAACGAGGCAGUGAGACUGCGGGGGAUAAGCUCCGUAGUCGAGAGGGAAACAGCCCAGAACACCGGCUAAGGCCCCCAAGCGUGUGCUAAGUGGGAAAGGAUGUGGAGUCGCACAGACAACCAGGAGGUUGGCUUAGAAGCAGCCACCCUUAAAAGAGUGCGUAAUAGCUCACUGGUCAAGUGAUUCCGCGCCGACAAUGUAGCGGGGCUCAAGCACACCGCCGAAGCCGUGUCAUUCAUACAAUAUCCAAGCCUUCGUGGUUCAGGAGUAUGGAUGGGUAGGGGAGCGUCGUGUGGCGAGCGAAGCGGCGGGGUAACCCAGCCGUGGACGCCACACGAGUGAGAAUGCAGGCAUGAGUAGCGAAAGACGGGUGAGAAACCCGUCCGCCGAAUGAACAAGGGUUCCAGGGUCAAGCUAAUCUGCCCUGGGUAAGUCGGGACCUAAGGCGAGGCCGACAGGCGUAAUCGAUGGACAACGGGUUGAUAUUCCCGUACCCGCGACGACGCGUCAAUGCUGAAUCUAGAAAUGCUAAGAGCACCAAAGCGUGGAGACCUUCGGGUUGAGACGUGGAGGUCCUCGAACCAAUCUGGUAGUAGGCAAGCAAUGGGGUGACGCAGGAAGGUAAUCCAACCCGGGCGAUGGUUGACCCGGGGUAAGGCUGUAGGGAGAGUUAUAGGCAAAUCCGUAACUCACAUAUCCUGAGAGCUGACGCCGAGCCGAUUAUGGCGAAGUGGAUGAUCCUAUGCUGCCGAGAAAAGCCUCUAGCGAGUGUCGUUGCGGCCCGUACCCCAAACCGACUCAGGUGUUCAGGUAGAGAAUACUAAGGCGAUCGAGAUAACCAUGGUUAAGGAACUCGGCAAAAUGCCCCCGUAACUUCGGGAGAAGGGGGGCCGCGGUUUGUGUAGAGAUUUACUCUCGAAGCAGAUUGCGGCCGCAGAGACUAGGCUGAAGCGACUGUUUACUAAAAACACAGGUCCAUGCGAAGUCGCAAGACGAUGUAUAUGGACUGACGCCUGCCCGGUGCUGGAAGGUUAAGGGGACCGGUUAGCCGCAAGGCGAAGCUGAGAACUUAAGCCCCAGUAAACGGCGGUGGUAACUAUAACCAUCCUAAGGUAGCGAAAUUCCUUGUCGGGUAAGUUCCGACCUGCACGAAUGGCGUAACGACUUCAGCGCUGUCUCAACCGUGGACUCGGCGAAAUUGCACUACGAGUAAAGAUGCUCGUUACGCGCGGAAAGACGGAAAGACCCCGGGACCUUUACUAUAGUUUGGUAUUGGUGUUCGAUUCGAUUUGUGUAGGAUAGGUGGGAGACUUUGAAGCCGAGACGCCAGUUUCGGUGGAGUCAAUCUUGAAAUACCACUCUGAUCGUGUUGAAUGUCUAACCUAGGUCCGUAAUCCGGAUCAGGGACAGUGCCUGAUGGGUAGUUUAACUGGGGCGGUUGCCUCCUAAAAUGUAACGGAGGCGCUCAAAGGUUCCCUCAGCCUGGUUGGUAAUCAGGUGUCGAGUGUAAAUGCACAAGGGAGCUUGACUGUGAGAUCGACGGAUCGAGCAGGGACGAAAGUCGGAAUUAGUGAUCCGGCGCCGGCAAGUGGAAGCGGCGUCGCUCAACGGAUAAAAGGUACCCCGGGGAUAACAGGCUGAUCUUGCCCAAGAGUCCAUAUCGACGGCAUCGUUUGGCACCUCGAUGUCGGCUCGUCGCAUCCUGGGGCUGGAGUAGGUCCCAAGGGUUGGGCUGUU
rnacentral:rRNA from 1 species